rnacentral:hammerhead_ribozyme from 1 species
AUCCAGCUGACGAGUCUCGAACAAAACAUAACGCGCGUCCUGGAU